rnacentral:rRNA from 1 species
UACGUAGGCAGCAAGCGUUGUUCGGAGUUACUGGGCGUAAAGGGUGCGUAGGCGGCUUUUUAAGUUUGGUGUGAAAUCUCCCGGCUCAACUGGGAGGGUGCGCCGAAUACUGAGAAGCUAGAGUGUGGGAGAGGAAAGUGGAAUUCCUGGUGUAGCGGUGAAAUGCGUAGAUAUCAGGAGGAACACCGGUGGUGCAAACGGCUUUCUGGACCAUAACUGACGCUGAGGCACGAAAGCGUGGGUAGCAAACAGG